rnacentral:rRNA from 1 species
AUUGAACGCUGGCGGCAGGCCUAACACAUGCAAGUCGAACGAGUGGCGGACGGGUGAGUAAUGUCUGGGAAACUGCCCGAUGGAGGGGGAUAACUACUGGAAACGGUAGCUAAUACCGCAUACCAUCGGAUGUGCCCAGAGGGGAUUAGCUAGUAGGUGGGGUAACGGCUCACCAAGGCGACGAUCCCUAGCUGGUCUGAGAGGAUGACCAGCACCACUGGAACUGAGACGCGGUCCAGCCGCCUACGGAAGGCAGCAGUGGGGAAUAUUGCACAAUGGGCGCAAGCCUGAUGCAGCCAUGCCGCGUGUAUGAAGAAGGCCUGCGGGUUGUAAAGUACUUUAGGCGGGGAGGCGUUACCCGCAGAAGAAGCACCGGCUAACCCCGUGCCAGCAGCCGCGGUAAUUC